CGUGCCAGCAGCCGCGGUAAUACGUAUGGAGCAAGCGUUAUCCGGAUUUACUGGGUGUAAAGGGUGCGUAGGUGGCAGUGCAAGUCAGAUGUGAAAUGCCGGGGCUCAACCCCGGAGCUGCAUUUGAAACUGCAUAGCUGGAGUACAGGAGAGGCAAGCGGAAUUCCUAGUGUAGCGGUGAAAUGCGUAGAUAUUAGGAGGAACACCAGUGGCGAAGGCGGCUUGCUGGACUGUUACUGACACUGAGGCACGAAAGCGUGGGGAGCAAACAGGAUUAGAUACCCUGGUAGUCCACGCCGUAAACGAUGA
rnacentral:rRNA from 1 species